rnacentral:lncRNA from 1 species
AAGAAGGCACUUUACUAAAAACAUUAAUAAAUAAAUAUUUACAGGAAAAAACAAAAAUGAUAAUACUAUAUUAGAUUUGCUUUAUGUAUAUAACUACUAGUUUAAUAGUUUUGAUAAGCAGCUAGCCCUUUGUAGUUCACCAAUAUAGGAUUUCAUCCAACAUUGAUAAUACCAUGGAUACAUUCUUGAUAAAUUGCUGCAAAAACUGCCCUUUAACUUGACUACAUAGAUUUAACAUGUCCCUUGAGAGUCUAAUAUUCCUCUAACUUGCAACAUGAUUAUUGAGAAAAUCAAGUUAUAAUUUUCAUGGCUCAUGUGUAUAUUUUGCAACUUCAGCGCGACGUUUAGCUUGUUCCGCAAUCUCAUUCAAUUCUCUGUAGUUCUUGUCAUGGAAUAAGCCAUUGCUUUCAGCAGUUUGGAGACCGUGUAGUGUACGUUGCGCGACUGCCCAUUGUGCUUCCCUUUCGCCUUUUCCAUAAUCCUUCUUGGUUGUGAAAGCAGUCUAAUAGUUUCAAAAAACAAAAAUAAAUAGAGUAUUAUUAAUUCAAGAAUGGAAUUUGAAAAGGUCUGCAGACCGUGCAGUGUACGUUGCGCCACAGCCCAUUGUGCUUCCCUUUCACCUUUUCCAUAAUCCUUCUUGGUUGUGAAAGCAGUCUAAUAGUUUC